rnacentral:rRNA from 1 species
CACUCCUGCGGGAGGCAGCAGUGGGGAAUAUUGGACAAUGGGCGCAAGCCUGAUCCAGCCAUGCCGCGUGAGUGAUGAAGGCCCUAGGGUUGUAAAGCUCUUUCACCGGAGAAGAUAAUGACGGUAUCCGGAGAAGAAGCCCCGGCUAACUUCGUGCCAGCAGCCGCGGUAAUACGAAGGGGGCUAGCGUUGUUCGGAAUUACUGGGCGUAAAGCGCACGUAGGCGGAUCGAUCAGUCAGGGGUGAAAUCCCAGGGCUCAACCCUGGAACUGCCUUUGAUACUGUCGAUCUGGAGUAUGGAAGAGGUGAGUGGAAUUCCGAGUGUAGAGGUGAAAUUCGUAGAUAUUCGGAGGAACACCAGUGGCGAAGGCGGCUCACUGGUCCAUUACUGACGCUGAGGUGCGAAAGCGUGGGGAGCAAACAGGAUUAGAAACCCUGGUAGUCCCAU